UUACGGGAGGCAGCAGUGGGGAAUCUUGCGCAAUGGGCGAAAGCCUGACGCAGCCAUGCCGCGUGGAUGAUGAAGGUCUUAGGAUUGUAAAAUCCUUUCAGCGGGGACGAUAAUGACGGUACCCGCAGAAGAAGCCCCGGCUAACUUCGUGCCAGCAGCCGCGGUAAUACGAAGGGGGCUAGCGUUGCUCGGAUUUACUGGGCGUAAAGGGCGCGUAGGCGGACAGUUAAGUCGGGGGUGAAAGCCCGGGGCUCAACCUCGGAAUUGCCUUCGAUACUGGCUGUCUUGAGUACGGGAGAGGUGUGUGGAACUCCGAGUGUAGAGGUGAAAUUCGUAGAUAUUCGGAAGAACACCAGUGGCGAAGGCGACACACUGGCCCGUUACUGACGCUGAGGCGCGAAAGCGUGGGGAGCAAACAGGAUUAGAUACCCCGGUAGC
rnacentral:rRNA from 1 species